rfam:Porphyromonas endodontalis ATCC 35406 contig00096, whole genome shotgun sequence.
GACUCCGUAGCUCAGUUGGUAGAGCAACUGACUCUUAAUCAGUGGGUCGAGAGUUCGAGCCUCUCCGGGGUCA